rfam:Gasterosteus aculeatus cont1.003083, whole genome shotgun sequence.
UUUAAAGUGUAAUGUUAGUCGCUUUGGAUAAAAGCGUCAGCUAAAUGACAUGUA